rnacentral:rRNA from 1 species
UAAUACGAAGGAUGCAAGCGUUAUCCGGAAUUAUUGGGUUUAAAGGGUGCGUAGGCGGACUAAUAAGUCAGUGGUGAAAGCCUGCAGCUUAACUGCAGAAUUGCCGUUGAUACUGUUAGUCUUGAGUACAGUUGAGGUAGGCGGAAUGUGUCAUGUAGCGGUGAAAUGCUUAGAUAUGACACAGAACACCGAUUGCGAAGGCAGCUUGCUAAGCUGUAACUGACGCUGAGGCACGAAAGCGUGGGGAGCAAACAGG